rnacentral:rRNA from 1 species
AUACGUAGUGUGCAAGCGUUAAUCGGAAUUACUGGGCGUAAAGCGUGCGCAGGCGGUUUUGUAAGACAGUGGUGAAAUCCCCGGGCUCAACCUGGGAACUGCCAUUGUGACUGCAAGGCUGGAGUGCGGCAGAGGGGGAUGGAAUUCCGCGUGUAGCAGUGAAAUGCGUAGAUAUGCGGAGGAACACCGAUGGCGAAGGCAAUCCCCUGGGCCUGCACUGACGCUCAUGCACGAAAGCGUGGGGAGCAAACAGGAUUAGAUACCCUGGUAGUCCACGCCCUAAACGAUGUCAACUGGUUGUUGGGGAUUUAUUUUCUCAGUAACGAAGCUAACGCGUGAAGUUGACCGCCUGGGGAGUACGGCCGCAAGGUUAAAACUCAAAGGAAUUGACGGGG